rnacentral:rRNA from 1 species
AUUGAACGCUGGCGGCAGGCUUAACACAUGCAAGUCGAGCGGGGUGAUGGUGCUUGCACUAUCACUUAGCGGCGGACGGGUGAGUAAUGCUUAGGAAUCUGCCUAUUAGUGGGGGACAACAUCUCGAAAGGGAUGCUAAUACCGCAUACGUCCUGCGGGAGAAAGCAGGGGAUCACUUGUGACCUUGCGCUAAUAGAUGAGCCUAAGUCGGAUUAGCUAGUUGGUGGGGUAAAGGCCUACCAAGGCGACGAUCUGUAGCGGGUCUGAGAGGAUGAUACGCCAAACUGGGACUGAGACACGGCCCAGACUCCUACGGGAGGCAGCAGUGGGGAAUAUUGGGCAAUUGGGGGAACCCUGAUCCAGCCAUGCCGCGUGUGUGAAGAAGGCCUUAUGGUUGUAAAGCACUUUAAGCGAGGAGGAGGCUCUUUUGGUUAAUACCCAAGAUGAGUGGACGUUACUCGCAGAAUAAGCACCGGCUAACUCUGUGCCAGCCGCCGCCGUAA